rnacentral:piRNA from 1 species
UGAUACAUUGACUAUGUGAAUGAAUGGACC